UUAAAACUUAGACCAAGAUCACAUCCACUCAGCCAGUCAGUCAGAACUCAUGAGUAUUUCGACGGUCUAUAUCACAUAAACUGUCUCGAGUACUGAGUAGCAGACAGGUUGUAUGAAAACCAUGCAAUUGGUGAAAAUAUAAAAUUAUAUACGGUACGGUACGGUAUGGAUAAGUACAGUAGGUUUCAACAUUGAAAUAAGGGGGGAGGGGAUUGAUUUAAAAAGUCUCAAAUAUAUUUUGUGGAUGAUUGUGUUAAAAAUUGACAAGACUUAGUUAAUUUAAAAGCAUCUCGAAGUUUUUUUGAAAUCACUUUGUGUGCAUGUGUAGUAAUCACUGUAGAUGAUACUAUUCGGGUUAUUGUUCACAUGUAGAAUAGUACAGUACUGCCAAGUCGACCAGGGGGGGGGGAUAUAAAAGAAAUGGGGGAGAGAUCCAAAAAGUAUCACUAUAUAUGUUUGGUAGACGAUUAUAUUAGAAAUUUAGAAAACUUAGAUGGCAGCAGCUCAAAGUUAUUUGAAAUCUUGUUAUGUGCGGCACAAUAGCU